rnacentral:rRNA from 1 species
GACGAACGCUGGCGGCGCGCCUAACACAUGCAAGUCGAACGGAGCUGAGAGAAGCUUGCUUUUCUUAGCUUAGUGGCGAACGGGUGAGUAACGCGUGAGUAACCUGCCCUGGAGUGGGGGACAACAGUUGGAAACGACUGCUAAUACCGCAUAAGCCCACGAUCCGGCAUCGGAUUGGGGGAAAAGGAUUUAUUCGCUUCAGGAUGGACUCGCGUCCAAUUAGCUAGUUGGUGAGGUAACGGCCCACCAAGGCGACGAUUGGUAGCCGGACUGAGAGGUUGAACGGCCACAUUGGGACUGAGACACGGCCCAGACUCCUACGGGAGGCAGCAGUGGGGGAUAUUGCACAAUGGGGGAAACCCCGAUGCAGCGACGCCGCGUGGAGGAAGAAGGUUUUCGGAUUGUAAACUCCUGUCGUUAGGGACGAUAAUGACGGUACCUAACAAGAAAGCACCGGCUAACUACGUG